GUGCUCACUUUGGCAGCACAUAUACUAAAAUUGGAACAAUUCAGAGAAGAUUAGCAUGGCACCUGCACAAGGAUGACAUGCAAAUUCGUGAAGCUUUCCUAUUUUUG
ensembl:snRNA U6 U6 spliceosomal RNA